GGAAGAGGCGGGGAAAGAGGCCGCGGCCUGCGCCCGAGCGACGCCCGGCCCUGCCCUGCCCAGCCCUGCCGCGGCCUGAGGGGGAGGGACGCCCGAGGGGGGCGGCCUCCCUCCCACAACAGCCCGGUGAGGUACCCAAGAAGAAUCUCCUGUGUUCCUUCCUGUAAAAAAAAGGUGGAAGACUCACCAAUCUCUGUGUUAAGAGUCUCAACAUCUUUUUUACAUCGUGGUGACCAAAACUGGAUGCAGUAUUCCACGUGUGGCCUUACCAAGGCAUUGUAAAGUGGUAUGAAUACUUCAUGUGAUCAUCUUCUUUUUAAAGAAAAUGCAGAACCAAAAAUCAAAUAACAUUAAACGUAAUCCCAUAAGUAUAUUGCCUUUCCUGCACAAGGGACUGGAAGAGAACCUCAAAGGCAGAAAAUAUAUCUAUAACAUAACGCAGCCCAAAAUCAUGCAUCUUUUGAGGAGACAUUUUAUUAAGAUAAAUCCAGCAAAAUUCCUAACAGUGGGUAUAUUCAGUCAAACCUGUCCUUCUCUUUUUUAAAAGUUUUUUUUUGUAUUUCAUUUAAAAACAUGAUUACAUAUUUUAAUAUUAUUCUCCAAAAUGUGACAAAAUAAAACUACAUUUGGGAUACAACAAGUUUCCAGCUUCUUAAGAUUUUUCAUGAAAAUAUCUCACCUUCUUUAUAAAAGCAAGUCACAGAACCACCGGAAUGUCUGACACAAUUGUGGUUUUUGUGUGUAUUUUUUUUUUUAGACCUCCCCACGUUAAGAAACCAUA